rnacentral:rRNA from 1 species
GUGUCAGCCGCCGCGGUAAGACAGAGGUCCCGAGCGUUAGGCGGAAUCACUGGGCUUAAAGCGUGUGUAGGCGGAUCGUUAAGUGCCUUGUGAAAUCCCACGGCUUAACCGUGGAACUGCUUGGCAUACUGGCGGUCUUGAGCAACCUAGGGGCAAGCGGAACAAAUGGUGGAGCGGUGAAAUGCGUAGAUAUCAUUUGGAACGCCAAUGGUGAAAACAGCUUGCUGGGGGUUUGCUGACGCUGAGACACGAAAGCCAGGGGAGCAAACGGGAUUAGAAACCCUCGUAGUCC